rnacentral:rRNA from 1 species
UACGUAGGGGGCAAGCGUUGUCCGGAAUUAUUGGGCGUAAAGAGCGCGUAGGCGGUCCGAUAAGUCGGCUGUGAAAGUCAAGGGCUCCAACCCUUGGAAGCCGGCCGAUACUGUCGGACUAGAGUCCGGAAGAGGCGAGUGGAAUCCCGGUGGUAGCGGUGAAAUGCGCAGAUAUCGGGAGGAACACCAAUGGCGAAGGCAGCUCGCUGGGACGGUACUGACCGGCUGAGGCGCGAAAGCGUGGGGAGCAAACAGG